AAACCGCCUCAUAAGUUUUACCACUGUAGCAGUUUUGGCCCUCCAAGGCAAAAAAAAAAACAAGAAGACACGUGGCACCUUACUUAGGGUGCCACGUCAGCGUAGACCAAGUCAAAAUUGGCCUUGGAGACCAAAACUGCCACAGGUGCAAAACUUAGGGGGUGGUUU
rnacentral:pre_miRNA from 1 species